UGCAGAAAAGUGCCAGUGGUCUUUUCACUGAGCGUUCGUGUCUGGUGCGUUCACUAGCUUCUACCACUCUCUCUCGCUCUCUCUCUCGCUCUCGCUCUCGCUCUCGCUCUCAUUGUUGUUUAGGGUGGAGGUUGAAACUGGAUUUAACUGACGCUUAAAGAAAAAGUAAUGUGAAAUAGAGUAGCAUAGCAGAGCAUGUGUUGUAUAUGUUUUUUAGAAAUCUCUGUAUGAAUAUAAAGAAUGGUCACUACACGGAACGAACAGAUGAAGUUGUGGAGUUGUAGAUGAAUCUGCAAGUUCAAAACUGAAUUGAAUAUUUCGCACAUACAGUAGAGAUUUUUUGCGGGCAACGGAAUUGGCCUAGUCUGCACCCUAAGCCUGACUCCAUAUUGCCAUCAGGUGUAGGCUGACUCCGGUAUGGACAUCGAACUGGUCAGCACCAUAGACAGACGUCCUACACCGGUGAUGUACAUAAUGAUCUUCUUCCUCUGUAUUGCCUGGC
rnacentral:lncRNA from 1 species